UCCAAUUAUUUAUAGCCUCUGGCUAUAGGAAAUUGUUAGUGGCAGACGGGUGAGUAAUGCGUAGGAAUCUACCUAGUAGUACGGAAUAGCCAUUAGAAAUGGUGGGUAAUACUGUAUAAUCCCCGAGGGGGAAAGAUUUAUCGCUAUUAGAUGAGCCUACGUUAGAUUAGCUAGUUGGUGAGGUAAUGGCUUACCAAGGCUAUGAUCUAUAGCUGGUCUGAGAGGACGAUCAGCCACACUGGAACUGAGAUACGGUCCAGACUCCUACGGGAGGCAGCAGUGGGGAAUAUUGGACAAUGGGCGAAAGCCUGAUCCAGCUAUGCCGCGUGAGUGAAGAAGGCCUUCGGGUUGUAAAACUCUUUCAAUAGGGAAGAUAAUGACGGUA
rnacentral:rRNA from 1 species